AUUAUGCCACUGCCUCCGUUCUCUUCUAACCUGUCACUAAAUCGACGAGUCCUGCUCUUGCUUCACCUACCCCCCCGACUCUCUCUCUCUGUCUCUCUCUGCGCCAAAACCCACUUCUCUUUUUCAUCUAUGGAGGCCUCUAUUGCUCUCUCUCGCGUAGGUCUCGCUGGCCUCGCUGUCAUGGGUCAGAAUCUGGCCCUCAACAUAGCCGAGAAGGGGUUCCCUAUCUCCGUCUACAACCGGACUGUCUCCAAGGUUGAUGAGACCAUCCACCGCGCCCACAACGAGGGAACAUUCCCUUUAACGGGUCACUACACUCCCCGUGAUUUCGUUCUUUCUAUCCAACGGCCAAGAUCCGUCAUCAUCCUGGUCAAAGCCGGCGCCCCUGUUGACCAGACCAUCGCCUCCUUGUCGGAGUACAUGGAGCCCGGCGAUUGUAUCAUAGAUGGUGGUAACGAGUGGUAUCAGAACACUGAGCGGCGAAUCCACGAAGUUAAUGACAAGGGUAUUCUUUAUUUGGGCAUGGGAGUAUCUGGCGGCGAGGAAGGUGCUCGUCACGGUCCGUCUUUGAUGCCUGGUGGGUCUUUUGAAGCGUACAAUAAUAUUACGGAUAUAUUGCAGAAAGUAGCUGCCCAGGUUGAAGAUGGGCCGUGUGUAACUUAUAUUGGUGAAGGGGGUUCAGGGAAUUUUGUCAAGAUGGUGCAUAAUGGGAUAGAGUACGGUGAUAUGCAGCUGAUUUCGGAGGCCUACGAUGUGUUAAAGAAUGUGGGCGGAUUGUCCAACGCGGAAUUAGCGGAGAUUUUCACAGAGUGGAACAAGGGAGAACUAGAGAGCUUCCUGAUUGAGAUUACAUCGGACAUUUUCAGGGUUAGAGAUGAGCAUGGAGAUGGGGACUUGGUGGAUAAGAUUUUGGAUAAGACUGGAAUGAAAGGGACUGGGAAAUGGACUGUGCAGCAAGCUGCAGAGCUUUCUGUUGCGGCACCAACCAUUGCUGCUUCUUUGGAUUGUAGGUAUUUGAGUGGGUUGAAGGAGGAGAGAGAAAGCGCAGCCGAGGUUUUGAAGGAGGCGGGAUUAAAGGAGGAAGUGGGGACUGUUAAGAGUGGUAUUGAUAAGAAGAGGUUGAUUGAUGAUGUGAGGCAAGCAUUGUAUGCUUCCAAGAUUUGUAGUUACGCCCAAGGGAUGAACUUGUUGAGGGCUAAGAGUAAUGAGAAGGGGUGGAAUUUGAAUUUAGGGGAAUUGGCCAGGAUUUGGAAAGGUGGGUGUAUUAUAAGGGCAGUGUUUUUGGAUAGGAUUAAGAAGGCUUAUCAGAGGAAUCCCAAUUUGGCUAGCUUAGUUGUGGAUCCUGAAUUUGCUAGGGAGAUGGUUCAGAGGCAGUCAGCGUGGAGAAGAGUUGUUGGUUUGGCUAUUUCAGCAGGUAUUAGCACACCAGGAAUGUGUGCAAGUCUUGCUUACUUUGAUACUUAUAGGCGUGCUAGGCUACCAGCAAAUCUUGUUCAAGCCCAGAGGGAUUUGUUUGGUGCACAUACUUAUGAAAGGGUUGAUCGCCCUGGGUCAUUCCAUACCGAGUGGACAAAACUUGCCCGCAAGAGCAAUUCUGGUGUUGGUGCUUUCAACUGAGUUUUUCAUGGUUUGGUUCCUUCUUUGUUUCAGUUGUGUGUUGAUGAUGUUUCUAUUUGAAUUAGGGUUGUACGUCUCAUUGAGGAUUCUCUUGCCUACGCAGAGCAAUUAUUGGUUAGCCUCACGGUUUUUACUUUUAAUAAGAAACGCAUGCCUCUUGGGAUCUAUAAGGUGUUCACUUUGAGCUAGACAGGAUAGAGUUCACUUUUUCUUUUAACACUUAUUUCUUUGCUUUGUCUCAAUAAUGUUAUCAUCUCUUGUGAGGCUAUUUGAUUUGGAGCACUAUAAGGCAUGUGCCUGAGAUGCUCUUUUUUUUUUUUUUUAGUUUGUCUUUGUCAGAAUUCAAGUCUUGCUGAUUGAUCGUUCCUAUUCUAUACCAAAUGAUGAUUUUUUUUAGUGCCUCUAAGGGCUUUUGAAGCACUUCAUUGUUGUAGCUUUAAUGUAAGAUUAUUUUCAUGCAAAGUUUUAGCUUUCAUUUGCC
rnacentral:misc_RNA from 1 species